UUGCAGCGACCACUUGAGAAUAAAAGGGAGCCCUUGGUGGAUGAAAGUGAGCAACCAAGCAAGAAAGUAAAGUUCUCUGUUGGUGAAAAAGUUUGGGCAUUGUAUAAGGAUGGACAUUCCUACAAGGCCAGGAUUAUAAGGAUUAACAAAAACUCCUACAGAGUGAAGUAUAUUCAAGAUGGAGUGGUCCAUGAUGUGGAUGGUGAAGGACUCGUUACUUAUGAUUGAAUUACCUCAAUUACCAGAAAUUUUCAUCUUAUGAACACAAUAGAGAUGUUA